UGUUUCGGCUAGGGGGCCAUCCCGGCUUACCAACCCGAUGCAAACUGCGAAUACCGGAGAAUGUUAUCACGGGAGACACACGGCGGGUGCUAACGUCCGUCGUGAAGAGGGAAACAACCCAGACCGCCAGCUAAGGUCCCAAAGUCAUGGUUAAGUGGGAAACGAUGUGGGAAGGCCCAGACAGCCAGGAUGUUGGCUUAGAAGCAGCCAUCAUUUAAAGAAAGCGUAAUAGCUCACUGGUCGAGUCGGCCUGCGCGGAAGAUGUAACGGGGCUAAACCAUGCACCGAAGCUGCGGCAGCGAACGUAUCACCCAAGACAACUUUGCGGAGUUGACGAUUGACGGAGCGAAGCGACGUCAAAGCGUUCAUUAAAGUCGAGUUGGCUUAGGGAUACGUUCGUUGGGUAGGGGAGCGUUCUGUAAGCCGUUGAAGGUGGCCUGUGAGGGUUGCUGGAGGUAUCAGAAGUGCGAAUGCUGACAUAAGUAACGAUAAAGCGGGUGAAAAGCCCGCUCGCCGGAAGACCAAGGGUUCCUGUCCAACGUUAAUCGGGGCAGGGUGAGUCGACCCCUAAGGCGAGGCCGAAAGGCGUAGUCGAUGGGAAACGGGUUAAUAUUCCCGUACUUGGUGUUACUGCGAAGGGGGGACGGAGAAGGCUAUGUUGGCCGGGCGACGGUUGUCCCGGUUUAAGCGUGUAGGUGUGUGUUCCAGGUAAAUCCGGUU
rnacentral:rRNA from 1 species